rnacentral:rRNA from 1 species
GUGUAGCAGCCGCGGUAAUACGUAGGUGGCAAGCGUUGUCCGGAUUUAUUGGGCGUAAAGCGAACGCAGGCGGGAGAAUAAGUCAGCUGUGAAAGCCCUCAGCUUAACUGGGGAACUGCAGCUGAAACUAUUUUUCUUGAGUGCAGAAGAGGAGAGUGGAACUCCAUGUGUAGCGGUGGAAUGCGUAGAUAUAUGGAAGAACACCAGUGGCGAAGGCGGCUCUCUGGUCUGUAACUGACGCUGAGGUUCGAAAGCAUGGGUAGCGAACAGGAUUAGAUACCCUGGUAGUCCAUGCCGUAAACGAUGAGUGCUAAGUGUUGGGAGGUUUCCGCCUCUCAGUGCUGCAGCUAACGCAUUAAGCACUCCGCCUGGGGAGUACGACCGCAAGGUUAAAACUCAAAUAAAUUGACGG